rnacentral:rRNA from 1 species
CCUACGGGAGGCAGCAGUGGGGAAUAUUGCGCAAUGGGCGAAAGCCUGACGCAGCGACGCCGCGUGAGGGAUGAAGGUCUUCGGAUCGUAAACCUCUGUCAGCAGGGAAGAACGGUCACUGUGCUAAUCAGCAGUGAAUUGACGGUACCUGCAAAGGAAGCACCGGCUAACUCCGUGCCAGCAGCCGCGGUAAUACGGAGGGUGCGAGCGUUAAUUGGAAUUACUGGGCGUAAAGCGCUCGUAGGCGGUAUGUCAAGUCAAGGGUGAAAUCCCCGCGCUCAACGUGGGAACCGCCUUUGAAACUGGCAAACUGGAGUGUGUGAGAGGAUAGUGGAAUUCCAGGUGUAGGAGUGAAAGCCGUAGAUAUCUGGAGGAACAUCAGUGGCGAAGGCGACUAUCUGGCACAUAACUGACGCUGAGGAGCGAAAGCGUGGGUAGCAAACAGGAUUAGAUACCCGAGUAGUC